CCCCAUUGUUCUCCAGCAGGUUGUUGUCCCAGGGACACUGCCAAACCAGUUGGAACUGGCUGUCUUGUCCCUCCUCGGUCAAAAUAUGACUUCCACCUAUCUCCUGAACCACUUAACCGAUUCAAGUGAAUUUUGGAAAUGUUUGUCCCCAAAUUAUGCUGGUUAUAAAAAUAUAAGUUUUAUUAAUAUCGCAUGUAAACUCACAAAGUUACAAAAUAAAAGUGUUUUUUAGCUAGGAG